rnacentral:tRNA from 1 species
ACCUUUCUAGUAUUAAGUUAGUACGAGUGACUUCCAAUCACCCAGUCUUGGUUAAAUUCCAAGGGAAGGCA